GAUGAACGCUGGCGGCGUGCCUAAUACAUGCAAGUCGAGCGAACAGACGAGGAGCUUGCUCCUCGGACGUUAGCGGCGGACGGGUGAGUAACACGUGGAUAACCUACCUAUAAGACUGGGAUAACUUCGGGAAACGGGAGCUAAUACCGGAUAAUAUAUUGAACCGCAUGGUUCAAUAGUGAAAGACGGUUGUGCUGUCACUUAUAGAUGGAUCCGCGCCGCAUUAGCUAGUUGGUAAGGUAACGGCUUACCAAGGCGACGAGGCGUAGCCGACCUGAGAGGGUGAUCGGCCACACUGGAACUGAGACACGGUCCAGACUCCUACGAGAGGCAGCAGUAGGGAAUCUUCGGCAAUGGGCGAAAGCCUGACGGAGCAACGCCGCGUGGGUGAUGAAGGUCUUCGGAUCGUAAAACUCUGUUAUUAGGGAAGAACAAAUGUGUAAGUAACUAUGCACGUCUUGACGGUACCUAAUCAGAAAGCCACGGCUAACUACGUG
rnacentral:rRNA from 1 species